GGGGAUGUAGCUCCUUGGUAGAGCGUCCGCUUUGCAAGCGGAAGGCCCGGGGUUCGAUCCCCCGCAUCUCCA
rfam:Nematostella vectensis strain CH2 x CH6 NEMVEscaffold_161_Cont16368, whole genome shotgun sequence.